GACCGCCCACUCCGCGAUGACGUCAUGUCUUCCCGUCACUAAACCAGGCUUUAGGCUCUACAGCUUUCGGACGCAGCAGGGCACACGCUGAUUGUCUAUAUUAGUAACCCUUAUCUUUGUUUGUUGUGGUGUUUUUAUAGAUGUUUUAAAUUGAAUGUAGCGCUCUUCGAUGAUUUGCAUUUGAUCUCGCCUCGCGUCAUCACUAGCGCGCGCGUUCGCCCAGUUUUAGUCAGCAGCGAUUCUUCUGAGGAGAGGUUCAAGAGGAUCACUUCAACCUACAAUGGAGUCUGAGAACAGCAAAGAAGGAUGUAAAUGCCAAAAGGAUUGCAGUAAAUGCCAAUGUCAUUGUCAUAUAAUAACCAACAGUCCAAAACCUAAACAAGUGAUUGUGGAGGAGAAGACGUCUGAGGUGCCUGAAAUGCCUUUGAAAGAGCGCGCCCCCUGUUACUGCUUCCCUUGUGUUUUCGGAUCCUGUGAUUGUGGCCCCAGUGAUUCUGGCAUCGGUGAUUCUGGCCCUGGUGAUUCUGGCCCUGGUGAUUGUGGCUCCUGUGAUUGUGGCCCCUGUGAUUGUGGCUUCUGCGAUUGUGGCUUCUGCGAUUGUGGCUCCUGCGAUUGUGGCUCCUGUGAUUGUCAGUGUAUGUUCUGACAGGUCAUCUGCCCGGAAUAGCUUCCGUGUACAAAAGCGCAAGCUACAGAAAAGUGGUUAUGUUUUAAAUAUGGAUAUGUUUCUUCCAAAAUGCAUGGAUUCACUAUUGGAGGCCUUUAUUCACCCCCCGGAGCUGUGUGAGGCACUUUUUAUUAUGGAUGGAUGCACUUUAUUGGACUUC